UAAGGAAUAUUGGACAAUGGAGGCAACUCUGAUCCAGCCAUGCCGCGUGAAGGAAUAAGGCCCUAUGGGUUGUAAACUUCUUUUAGACGGGACAAAACCCCUUUACGUGUAAAGGGUUGAUGGUACUGUCAGAAUAAGCAUCGGCUAACUUCGUGCCAGCAGCCGCGGUAAUACGAAGGAUGCAAGCGUUAUCCGGAAUUAUUGGGUUUAAAGGGUGCGUAGGCGGACUAAUAAGUCAGUGGUGAAAGCCUGCAGCUUAACUGCAGAAUUGCCAUUGAUACUGUUAGUCUUGAGUACAGUUGAGGUAGGCGGAAUGUGUCAUGUAGCGGUGAAAUGCUUAGAUAUGACACAGAACACCGAUUGCGAAGGCAGCUUGCUAAGCUGUGACUGACGCUGAGGCACGAAAGCGUGGGGAGCAAACA
rnacentral:rRNA from 1 species